AAUAUUGGUCAAUGGAGGCAACUCUGAACCAGCCAUGCCGCGUGCAGGAAGACGGUUCUAUGGAUUGUAAACUGCUUUUGUACAGGACGAAAUAAUCCCUCGUGAGGGAGCUUGUCAGUACUGUAAGAAUAAGGAUCGGCUAACUCUGUGCCAGCAGCCGCGGUAACACGGAGGAUCAAAGCGUUAUCCGGAAUCAAUGGGUUUAAAGGGACCGUAGGCGGAUUAGUAAGUCAGGGGUGAAAGGUUGCGGCGUAACCGUAAAAUUGCCUUUGAUACUGCUAGUCUUGAAGAAUUAUGAAGUAGCUAGAAUAUAUAGUGUAGCGGUGAAAUGCUUAGAUAUUACAUGGAAUACCGAUUGCGAAGGAAGGUUACUAAUAAUUUAUUGACGCUGAUGGACGAAAGCGUGGGGAGCGAACAG
rnacentral:rRNA from 1 species